GGGUUGUGAGGUUAAGCGACUAAGCGUACACGGUGGAUGCCCUGGCAGUCAGAGGCGAUGAAGGGCGUGCUAAUCUGCGAUAAGCGCCGGUAAGGUGAUAUGAACCGUUAUAACCGGCGAUACCCGAAUGGGGAAACCCAGUGUGACUCGUCACACUAUCAUUAACUGAAUCCAUAGGUUAAUGAGGCGAACCGGGGGAACUGAAACAUCUAAGUACCCCGAGGAAAAGAAAUCAACCGAGAUUCCCCCAGUAGCGGCGAGCGAACGGGGAGGAGCCCAGAGCCUGAAUCAGCAUGUGUGUUAGUGGAAGCGUCUGGAAAGGCGCGCGAUACAGGGUGACAGCCCCGUACACAAAAGCGCAUGUGCUGUGAGCUCGAUGAGUAGGGCGGGACACGUGGUAUCCUGUCUGAAUAUGGGGGGACCAUCCUCCAAGGCUAAAUACUCCUGACUGACCGAUAGUGAACCAGUACCGUGAGGGAAAGGCGAAAAGAACCCCGGCGAGGGGAGUGAAAAAGAACCUGAAACCGUGUACGUACAAGCAGUGGGAGCCCCACCACUAAGCCAGUGGUGAACUCCACAUACGCAUCCUUUGCUGAAGGCAAUGGUUAACGGAGCGAAAGCGACGUUCAACCGCAAAACAAGCAGAGGGGGCUUAGUGGUGGGGUGACUGCGUACCUUUUGUAUAAUGGGUCAGCGACUUAUAUUCUGUAGCAAGGUUAACCGAAUAGGGGAGCCG
rnacentral:rRNA from 1 species